rnacentral:rRNA from 1 species
CGUCUAUAUACGUAUAGCAUAUCAAUAAGCGGAGGAAAAGAAACUAACAAGGAUUCCCUUAGUAACGGCGAGUGAAGCGGGAAGAGCUCAAAUUUGAAAUCUUCAAGGUUCUACCUUGACGAAUUGUAGUUUAUAAGAAGUGUUUUCUGUUAGGGAGUUUGGUAAAAGUUCUUUGGAAUAGGACAUCAUAGAGGGUGAGAAUCCCGUAUUUGACCAUUAUUUCCAGCUUUGUGAUACACUUUCAAAGAGUCGGAUUGUUUGGGAAUGCAGUCCAAAAUGGGUGGUAAAUUUCAUCUAAAGCUAAAUAUUGGCGAGAGACCGAUAGCGAACAAGUACCGUGAGGGAAAGAUGAAAAGAACUUUGAAAAGAGAGUUAAACAGUACGUGAAAUUGUCAAAAGGGAAGCGUUUGACACCAGUGUUGUUUUCUCGAAAAUCAAUUAAACGAAUGUUUAUUUUGAGUAGUUAUGACUUCAUCAGCUCUGCACUCUUUCUUGAUACUUUCUUAAUGCACUUUUCGUUUAACAAGUCAACAUCAAUUUCUUUUGUUGUAAAAGGGUCAUUGGAAGGUGGCUUUCUUUUCGGAGAAAGUGUUUAUAGCCUUUGGCCUCUGCAAUCGGAGAGAUUGAGGUCUGCAGCGUAGAUCCUUCGGGGUUAGAUACAUUUGUGCUAAGUUAUAGCCUUUCAUAGACAACUUGUUGACUAUGAUUCAGUCAUGUAGCUUACUCGCUUAUGCUAUUUUACCUACGCUUAGGAUGUUGACUGAUAUGUAGUCGUA